CAGCACCUCAAGUGGUCAGGAUGAUUAUUGGGCCUAAAGCAUCCGUAGCCGGCGCUGUAAGUUUUCGGUUAACUCUGUACGCUCAACGUACAGGCUGCCGGGAAUACUGCAGCGCUAGGGAGUGGGAGAGGUAGACGGUACUCGGUAGGAAGGGGUAAAAUCCUUUGAUCUAUUGAUGACCACCUGUGGCGAAGGCGGUCUACCAGAACACGUCCGACGGUGAGGGAUGAAAGCUGGGGGAGCAAACCGGAUUAGAUACCCGAGUAGUCC
rnacentral:rRNA from 1 species